CUUAGCAGAUGCUUGAUGGACGACUGUUGCAUGAGAGACUGAAGCACACCAGUCUUAAGGGUGGUUACAAGGACUGACCGAGGAACACAGCAAUGGGCUCAGAGAUGGUCAUGAUCCGAAGUCAACCAGAGGCAUUUCCGAUUCCUGAUGGCCUUGAGGAUGAGCAGAUGUAAGAGCUGGAACUCCUGCAGCCAUUUCUAAACCAGGAGGAAAGUGAAGCCAUCAGAGCACUCUGCAGCAUUUCUCAGCUGGAGUUUGUAUCUGGGUGCAAAUGUGUGACCCGAUUUGGACAAUGGAACAGCAAUUAGGGUGUUUCAAGCCAAAGCUUGAAAAACGCUUGUACACUGGGGCUUGUUCGCCCUUUCCUUCUGCUUUGGAGCCCAGCCUCUGGCGAAGAAGUCCAGCUAGCCUGCUGGAUGAUGGGAGACAUGAGAACCACUUGUCACUGUCACUCUGGCCAAUAGCCAACCAAUUGCCAGAUCUGUGAGUGGAGCUGUCCUUGGUCAUCCAGCUACCAGCUGACUACAGACACAUGAAGACGCUCAGCAGGCCCACCCAGACCACAGGAACUUUGCAGCUGACACACAGACUCAUGCACAAAAUGAAAGGUCUCUGCUGUCUUUAGCCUGUGGCUUCCAUCUUGGAUCACUGAAGUUCGCUUUGCCAACUUCUCCCAUCGUGUCUUCCUUUCAGCCAGUUGGAAAGGGAGGAGGUACUGGAGACACUCCACUUUCCCUUAAAGGCAUGCCUCGGGAGUUCAGAGGUAACUUUUGCUCAUUUCCAUUGGUUAAUGUAAUCACAUGUCCGCCCCCACGUGAGAAGGAGGCUGAAGCAAUGUUGGCUGUAUGCUGGACAGUUUG